CAGCGGCUGCAGCGCCGGCGGGAGCCGCCGCGCCCGCCCGCCGCCCGGCCCGCACGGAGCGCGGAUUGUGCAACUUGGGAAAUGUUAUUGCAAUUUAAUUAACUUCAGAAAGUGUAUUCUGGACUGAAUUGACCAGACCUCCUAUUCUAUGCAAGCAUCUCCUGCUGGUAACCAGUAACUGGAAGCAGUUUCUGCAGUAUGGGAGAAGAAAACCUGCAGGCACUCGAGACAGC